rnacentral:lncRNA from 1 species
CAUAACUAAGCUCUAUUGCAGCACUUAUCCGGAAGAAAUAGCCAUCGCAGAUUUGGGUUGUUCUUCCGGACCCAACACUUUCUUUGUGGUAUCGGAACUUAUCAAAGUGGUGGAUAGUGCUCGCCGAAAGAUCUCCCAAAAAUCCCCCGAGUAUCAAGUGUUUUUGAAUGAUCUUCCUGGGAAUGACUUCAACACCAUUUUCAGGUCCUUGUCCAUCUUCCAGUACAAACUGAGGGAGCAACUUGGACCCGGUAUUGGACCAUGUUUUUUCACUGGAGUACCUGGUUCUUUCUACGGAAGGCUUUUCAGGAAAAACAGCCUUCAUUUUGUACACUCUUCCUAUAGUCUGCAAUGGCUCUCUCAGGUUUAGUUUAUAUAUUAAUGAAGUAUAGUCUAAUAUAAUAUAUCUGUAAUCAUUUUAGAAUGAAAAAGAGCUUGUAAUUUAUGAGUGGACUAUUUUGAUUUGAUCCAGGUUCCUCAAGGGCUGGAAAGUAAUAAAGGGAACAUUUACAUGGCUAGCACAAGUCCACCAAACGUGCUUAAGGCAUACUAUGAGCAAUUUCAACAGGAUUUUUCCUUGUUUUUGAACUGUAGGUCAGAGGAACUGGUGGAUGGAGGGCGCAUGGUUUUGACAUUUUUAGGGAGAAGAAAUGAUGACCCUUCAAGCAAAGAGUGUUGUUACAUUUGGGAGCUUUUGGCCAUGGCUCUCAAUGAUAUGGUCCUUGAGGUAUAGAAUGAAUAAUUCUACUCACCGUUGCUGGGAUUUGAAACAUACAUUUGCAGGAUAGGAUACAAUCUUUUAAAGAUAACUAUAUGAAUCAAUCAUAUUUAGGUUACUCCAUCAGGGAUAGUUAUCAAUUGGACACUAGUUGAUAUUAUCUUUAGAUUUGAGCCACCCCACCUACCUAUGUAUCAUAUCAUUUCCCAAAACUGAAAAUCUGAUAGUGACUGGCCCAUAAACUAGUAAACUAGGGAGUUAAUUCCCUAAAGUAUAUUUUGCUGCAUAUAUAUAUAAAGUUGAUAAACUAGAUAUUAAUUAGAUAAUAAAGAAAACAUGAAAUAAAUGCAGGGAGUGAUAGAAGAAGAGAAACUGAACAGCUUCAACAUCCCACAAUACACACCAUCUCCAGCAGAGGUUAAAUAUGAGGUUGAGAAGGAAGGGUCGUUCAGCAUCGAUCAAUUGGAAGUAACUGAAGUGAAUUGGAACGCUUAUCAGAACGAAACUGACUUAUCUGAUGCAUUCAAGGAUGGUGGGUACAACGUCGCCAAGUGCAUGAGAGCUGUGGCUGAACCACUGCUUUUCAGCCACUUUGGUGAAGCAAUCAUCGAUGAAGUGUUUCGAAGGUACAGAGAAAUUGUUGCUGAUCGCAUGUCCAAAGAGAAGACUGGGUUUGUCAAUGUCAUUGUUUCUCUUAAAAAAGCUUGAUUAUUAUGUCAUCAGUGGUUAUCUAGCGUGGAACCCCCACCACCACCACAAAACCAAUCAAUAUUAUAUGGUACAAAUGAACUGUGCUACGGCACUGUUAUCCAAUCAAGAAUAAUUUCAUGCUUGCAAGUUGUUUGUAAAAUUUUACCACUCUUUAUUUUUAAUUUCUAAAUACAUCAAAAUAAUAAAAUUUACAAACCAAUACCUAAAAUUACAAAGUCAAAGUUGACAAAUUAUCAGUUUUCUUUCUGUUUUCAAUGUCAAAAGUUUUAUAAUAGCCACCACCUCAUAAAUUAAGGAAAAGAAAAGACAUUUUCAAUUCCAAUGUAUAUUCAUCCAAGGAAACAACAAAAGUUCUAAAAUAUAGUUAAUAUAGACCAUAUAUAUCUAUGCAGGAUAAAAAAAUUACCUAUUCCAAAAUGUUAAAAAUUUAUUCUUAAUGCUAUUAAUUUUGUAGAAUUUAAGAAAAUUGAAAUUGCUUUUUUAACAAGGUGACAGUGAAGUUGAUGGAAUUUGCAAUAGAGAUGUUAUUUGAAAUUUAUUGGUUAAAAAAGAAAAUGCGUCAUAUAGGGCGCACUUUCAACCAUGUCAGCUGAACACGCAUUGUCACUAAAAAUUGACAAUUUAGUUUUUUUUGGUCAGAUGGUUAAAUGUUGGUGUUUUUGUUGUUGAGCCAAUGUUCGAUUCCUCUUCUGCUCACAUUUGUAUUUUUUAUUUCAUUUUAUUUUAAGCUUUUUUAAUUAAUAUUUUUGACAUAUUCAUGUUGUUUCAAGCUUUUUUAUUUAUUUUUAAUUAAUUUUUAUAAUUAAUAAAUAUAUUAUUUUUAAAAAAAUUUUGUGCUACUAUAUAAUGCAUAUAUGGUUAAACCAUGGAUCAUACCAAUAAAAUUACUUCUUUUCGGUUUUAAUGGAAAUAGUAACAUUAAUAAAAAAUAUUAUUGAAAAUAAAAAAGGGACUCCCUUAUAGCACCAAACGAAAAAAAAAUAUUGGAUUAGAGAAUCAAAAUCAAGAAGAAAAAGAACCUAUUGGUGAAGGGGGUCUUGUAUCAUAUGCACAAAAACAAGGAAAUUUUUUUAAAAAAAAUUUGAAAACAAUAUAUUUAUUAAUUAUGAACAUUAAUUAAAAAUAAAAAUAAAAAAAGCUUGAAACAACUUGAAAUAAAAAUAGAAUAUUAAAAUGCUUACAAGAGGAAUUGAACUUGGGACUUAAGAAAGAAAUCACAAUUAUCUAACCAUCUAACCAAAAAAAUCAAUAUGUCAAAAAUAUUAAUUAAAAACAAAAAAAGAGAGAGCUUAAAAUAACAUGAAAUAAAAAUAAAAAUGUGAGGGAGAGGAAUUGAACCUGAAACUGAAGGACAAAAACACUAACACUUAACCAUUUGAUAAAAAAAACUAUAUUACUAAUUUUUAGUGAAAAUAUAUCUUGUAAGACGUAUUUUCAACUGAUGUAAUUCAAAGCGUGCCCUUUAAUAUGUGUUUUUAUUGACAUGAUAGAUAGGACGCGUUUUUCUUUUUUUUUAAAAAAAACAGGCAUCAACAUACUUUUAAAUAUUAUCCAUGAUAAAUGAGACCUAGUUAAAUGAAAAUGUGACACAUUUUAGAUGACAUAUAAGCUAAGUAUUAUUAUUAUUAUUUAAAUUUGGUUUCGUGUGAAAUGUAAAUAAACCUAAUUGUAGCACAUAAGGUAAGAAUGAAUAGUUUUUGUUAAUGAAAUAAGUAUAGAAAAUUAUUACUUUAGUUCCAUGUUUAAGUAAUUAUAGAGAUGAAGUCCACGUAGUGUUAAAAUUCAACUACUUUAUAAAUAAUUUAAUGUAAUACCAAAGCAAAGCUGUUAUGUAGUACGUCAUUUAAAUAACGCUAUUAAUAUGACGCCUGCGUUAAUGACAUGUUAUCAGGAGAUAAUAUUUUAAUAAAUUAACGGAGAAAAGUAACAUUUAUUUUAUUUUAUUUUUCUUCAAUCCAAGAAUUUGCCUGUGUCCGAACUUAAUCUUCUCACCAAAGAAUUUAUAGAAAAAACUGAAAUACCUCUUACCCGAGACCAUUGUCGGAAUCGAGCACAAGAUGUCAUCUAACUUAACUUACUAGUUCAGAGUAUAAAAAUUUACUUUUAAAAUUAAUUUCACUGUUCACAACAAAAAUGUCCACCUGCGCGACUGUCACUAAUUUAAUUAUAACUUGAGUUACAAAAUUCGAAAUUUAAAUCCGUAAAUUUUCCCUGAAACUAGACUCAUAUACCUUCUUUCCAAAAAAUUUUCAGAAUUUUUGACUUAACCAAUUAGUACAGUUUAUUCAUUAAAGUCUCCACUGUUUCACAGCUCGACAGUUCUGAUCUCUUGGCACUAAAAAUCAAUUAUCUCAUUGUACAGAAUUCAUAUAAUGUUAUCGUUUGUUUCUUUUGAAAAUAGACUCACUAAAUCAUAUUUCAUGCUCAUAACAGCCCUCAAUUUCACAAAAUCACAAUUUUAUGCACACUUUACUAUCUUUCACAAUUUAGUCCUUUUUCAACAUUUUCAUCAAAAUUCAUCUAGUAAAACUUGUAAUUAGCACUUCAAACAUUUAUUAUCUAACAUCACUUAUCAAAUUACAACUAUAUCAUGAAUGAGUCAAUUUUUAAACUUUAAUUUCAUUUAAAAUAAAUGGUAGAAACAUGAAAUUCAAGCUUCAAUAAGCAUAAAAAUACGAAAAUAAUUAAAAACGGGGCAAGAAAUCACUUACAAUUGAGCUUAGAAAAAUCAAGAACCCUAGCUUAUAGAACAUGAAAGUUUCGGCAGCAACUCUUUAAUUUUGAAGAAGAUGGACACUUAUUUUCACUUUAUUUUGUCUUUUAUUCACCUUUGACAAAAAUACCCUUGAUCAUUUACUUAGAUAUUUUUCUAGAAUUACCCUUUUGUGUCCAUAACACUAAUUUAUGGUCUAUUUUCCACAUAAACACUUCCAAUUUCAUGCAAUAAUUCAAUUAAGUCAUUUAAUCACUAAUUAGACACACUUUGCAUUUUUCUCAAUUUAGUCCUAAAAAUUCAAUUAGGCACUAAAUCAUUAAAAUAUCCUAUCCAUAUUUUCACAGAAUAUUUCAAUCAAUCAGUAAUUAAUAAAAAUUUAUAAAAUUAAACUAUUUCACUUCGAAUUUGUGGUUACGAAACCACAAUUCCGAUUAGGCCCUAUUUCGGGCUAUCACAAAAACAAAUUAAGUUUUAAAAAAACAAAAGGGUAAACUAGACCCAAUUAUUAAUAAUUCUUUUGUCAAAGCUUCAAAAUAGUCACACAACUAUCUAUUUUUGUCUUUUUUAGUCACCAGCUGAUUAAUAGUAACGUCUUUUAAAAUUGGUAUAAUAGUAACUUUAUCCCUCAAUAUUUAUAUAUUUUGUUAACCGAUUCUUAAUUCUAAAAAAUAUAACCCUUAGUUUAUACAAAUUAUGUAAUUUGGGUAGUUCUAGACAUUAUAUAUAUAUAAAUAACCACUAUAUAAAUAAUUGGCUUAACUAUAAUCAAUAAAAAGCCCUCAGUAAAAAAAAUAAUUAAAAUCUAUUGAGUUCUUAUGAAAAAAGUUCACCUAAUUGAGCCAUCAGUGACAAAAAAAAUUGACUUCUUUUGUUAAUGGAAACUAUCAGUUGACCGGUUUGAUCGUUAACCAGAUCGGUGUGGCUAAUGAAAGUCAUUAGAAGAUGCCACGUAGCAGUAUGUUGAUGAGGCCUGACAGGUCAGCAAAAUAUGAAAAUAAUUCUUUUAAAAAAUAAUAAAAAUUAAAUUUAGACAAAUGAUUGCUUAAAAAUUAAAAAAAUCCAAAAAUUAUAAACAAAAUUAUUAAUAAUUAUUUAAGAAUUCGAAGAUAUUAUAAAAAUAAAAUAUGGAAAAAAUUCAAAAAAAUUAAAAACUUAUUUUAAAAAAGCUAAUAAAAAUAUGCAUUCAGAAUGUACAAAAACAAAUGGUUGUUUAGGUUUUACUGAAGUUGGGAUAAUUAAUUUUCUAGAUUCAUUAUAGAUGAGUUUAAAAUUAGAAAAAAAAUUAGAAAUUCUAAAAAAUAUUAAUAAUUAUUGAAAAUUUAUAAAAAUUAAAAAUGUGAAAAAACCUAAAAAAUAAUCGAUGUUUUAAAAAUUAUUUGAUUUUUUUACAAUUAUAAAAUCUUUCGUCCAUAUUCCGAUGCAUUGUCUAAUCCUAUUUUUUUUUUAAAAAUUUGGGCAAAAUACCAAAAAAGCCAAUUUUUUUUAAAUUUACCAAAAUAGGCCCGGUAUUUUAUUAUUUACCGAAAUGGGCCAUUUUCCCCUAAAUCGCGUCCACAUCAGUGCGAUUUCAGGGGACAUGCCAGGAAAUCACGUCCACGUCAGCAAGCUUUGCUAACAUGGCAACAAAUCGCGUCUUCUGAAGCGCGAUUUGUGUCCACUGGGACGCGAUUUCGUCGUGUUUCCCACCUUAGGGUUUUUAGGGUUUUUAGGGUUUAUGAAGAAAAAAGUAAACAAAUAACGGAUUAGGGUUUAGGGUUUAAGGUUUCGUAAUUAAAUUAAUUAAAAUUUAUUCAAAAUUGGAUUACGUUUCGUGUUUGUGGGUUUUUAAGAUAAAAUCAAAGCAGGAUGAUUUAUCAGAAGGAUUUUUGAAGUUGCGCCCACGUGUACAUACUUUUGCUACAGUAGGUCUUGAAAAAAUAAUUUCGACUUGACGUUUCUGAGAAAAUAGUUUAAAAAAUGCUUCAAGCAGGAUGCUUUAUGAGAAGAAUUUAUGAAAUCGCGCCCUCAUGGACGUGCUUUUGCUAUAGUUGGUCCUGGAAGAAAUAAUUUCGAGUUGACUUUUUUGAGCAAAUAGUUUAAAAAACGCUUCAAGUAGGAUGCUUUAUAAAAGGAAUUUGUGAAGUCGCGCCCACGUGGACGUGCUUUUGCUACAGUAGGUCCUGAAAAAAUAAUUUUGAGUUGACGUUUCUGAGCAAAUAGUAUAAAACAACGCUGCAAGCAGCAUGCUAUUUGAGAAGAAUUUGUGAAAUCGCGCCCUCGUGGACGCACUUUUGCUACAGUAAGUCCUGGAAAAAUAAUUUCGACUUGACGUUUCUGAGUAAAUAGUAUAAAAUCACUUCUAGCAGGAUGCUUUAUGAGAAGAAUUUGUGAAAUUGCGCCCACGUGGACGUGCUUUUGCUACAGUAGCAUGUUUAGGCUGAGGCUAUAAAUGAGGCAAAAAAUGUUCUGAGAUUGCAUAAGUCACAGCAGAAAUAAUUUAGAGAGGCUAAGAAGGUUAGAGUUUCAAAUAUGAGUGAACGUAUUAGUGUUGUUAUUUCCUACGAUGAUGAGGUUUGCCACACCGAGAAUGGUAUUGUUUUUUUAUCGGAGAAUACGGUGCGACUGGUUUUUAACCAGAACAUAGAUUUGACAGAACUUCGUAAAAUAAUUAGGCAUAAAAUUUUCGGAACGACGCCAAUGAAAGUUUUUGUCUAUUACGUAUCGAUUCUGUUCCUUUGUUGAUCAGGAUGACAUAUGACUCGUUCGACAUAAAAGGUACUCGCAGCUUGGAGGCAAUGGUGCAGACUCAUCUUGCUAGUGGAGCACCUUAUAUUGAGUUAUAUGUAUAAUUUACAUCGCCAAAUGAUGUACUUACGACCGGUGUUCGAGAUGUAUACACGACCCUUGGCCAACAUUCGGUUAGCGGGUUAAAAAACACGGAACAACCCAUGUUUGGUAGCGGUGUUGAAUGCACAUCCCCCGCAAGACACUCUAUCGGUGGAUGGGACAUGUACAUCGGUGGCUCGAUGUUUGAUGUUAAAAAUACGUACUAUGAAACGGCAUCAAGUUCUAGUGGUUGGGAAUCUACAUCCAAUUGGGGACGUUAUGAAAUGCCCAGAAGAAGGGAUGAUGUACUACCUACGAUGUCAACCGGUGAGGGGACCUUGUACGCUUCAGAUGAUUGUAGGUUAGAAGAUGACUCUGAUAUGGAUCCACCUCGAGAGCCCGAGCCCGAUAGUGCAGAAAUUGGCUUAUUUUCUGAACCGGAGCCUAUUCCAACAGAACCUAAAGAUGCUAAGAGGAGUUCAAAUGAAGAAGAAAAUCCUCGAUUCAGAGCAUACUCACCUCCAGCCCACAUGCAUAAUGUCGAUCUGUCUGCAGAUGAUGCGUUAGACUUUCCAAAUCUACCACACCGGUUGUGUGAUCGUACAAGUUCAGGGCUAGAUUCAGGUGAAUUUGAAGUUGGUAAUCAGUUUACCAAAAAAGAUAGUUUUAUUGGUUCUUUGAAACAACAUAGCAUCAAAAAUGACGUUAACUACUACGUCGUUAAAUCCAAAUCUGAUAAGUUUGAGGCGAAGUGUGCGGUGCAAGACGGCACAUGUUCAUGGAAAAUCUACGCUUCGUUAAGGAAAAGGACAGGGUUGUGGGAGAUUAAAAAGUACAAAGGUCCACAUACAUGUGUUGCAGGUACAGUAUUGACGAUAUCUGAAUAAUACUUUUAUUAUGUAAUGUUACAUUAUUUAAUGUACUUUGUUUAUAGGUGUUUCACAAGAUCAUCCGAAGAUGGAUUUAGCUAUGUUAGUUAACUUGAUAUUGCCCAUGAUAAAAGCAGAUCCCAGGACUUUGUGUCGGUGUUAAUUGCCAAUAUUCGUAGCCAAAUGGGGUAUACGCCCUCUUACCGCAAGGCUUGGAUAGCUAAGAAAAAGGCGUUGGAGAAGAUGCAUAGUGGGUGAGACGCCUUAUAUAAUGAAAUAUGGCAGUGGUGUCAAGUGCUAAAGAGAUACGUCCAGGUGCCAUCACAGACCUUGAAACGGAACGCGCGUACUACAACGGCUGAUUACUACGUGGAUGCCAAGUGUUCAAACGCUUGUUUUGGACCUUUAAGUAAUGCCGAGACGCAUUUCCAUACUGCAAGCCAUUGGUACGAAUUGACGGUACCUUUAUGUUUGGUAGGUAUACUCAUUGGCUAUUGCUUGUGGUGGCACAGGAUGGCGGUGGGAGAAUUCUUCCAAUUGCAUUUGUAAUAACACCGGGGGAGUCGUCUGAUGAUUGGGAUUUCUUUCUCUCUAGGUUAAAGAGGCAUGUGUGCUCCCAACUUGAUAUCUGUGUUAUUUCAGAUCGGGGCGCCGGUAUACUAGCUGCAUUUGAUCGACAGGAAAGCUUAUGGCAGCACACACACCAUCGAUAUUGCCUAAGACACAUUGCUUCCAACUACUACAGGAAAUAUUCAUCUAAGAGCGAACGACGACAAGUGACCAACAUGGGUAUUUAGUUUAUAUAUGUGUUAUUUCGUUUCUCAAUUUAAAUUAGUUUUAUUGGUAGAAGUGGUAUGUAAUAUUCGCUAUGAACUUAUAUUGGUAGGGUAUGAAAUAAAUAAAGACCGUUUUCACGAGAUGUUGGCAACUUUACGUUUAAUUAACGGAGAAGGGGCGGACUACCUUUGUAACAUACGUUUCGAACAGUGGGCACAAGCAUACGACAGCGGCCUACGAUAUGACCAUAUGACGUCAAACCUGGCUGAAUGCAUAAAUUCUGUUAUUAAAGGAACGCGUCAUCUACCGAUAACAUCGGUUGUGCGAGAGACAUAUUUUCGUUUGGCGGCUCUAUUUCCAAAGCGAGCAGCAAGUUAUGUAGGCCAGAUGUAGGGAGGACAUGUAUGGUGUAGUAAGGUAGUUCAAGAAAUUAACAAGGCCAAGGCGCAGGCAAACACCAUGCACACAGUGUGUCACGAUUAAGACAACUUAUGGUUUCGUGUGACAAAGCUUGAGAGACCGCACAAAGGUGUUGGUGACGGGCAAUAUCGUGUACACUUGCAAAAUAGGACUUGCGACUGUGGGAUGUUUGAUGCACUUCGUUAUCCAUGCCCUCAUGUUAUUGCAGCUUGUCAGAAUCUCCGUCUGGAUCCGAUGAGUUAUGUGGACGAAGUGUACAAAUUAGAAAACAUGUACAACGUCUGAAGACACGUUUUUCCACCGGUCCUAGAUGAACGUAAGUGGCCGCCCGUAUCUCUUGUUCCUUUUAAGCUGUUACCAAAUAGAGAAUUACGUCGCAAACCAAAGGGUUGACCUUGCUAGACUAGAAUACGUAACAAUAUGGAUAUCCGAGAAACAGCCAGUUAACAGAACUUGUGCGGAUGGUGUAGGAAUCUAGGCCAUACAAGUCGAUCAUGCCCUAAUCGCAAUAGUUGAAUGUAAUUUUAAAAAAAUUAUAUUUUUUCAAUUAUUAAUUGUUAAUUGUAUUAAUUGUUAGUAAAAUUAUCAAAUUAUAUCAAAUUAUUAAUUGUUAGUACCAGUCAAAAAAUUUUCCAAAUCUAACAUUAUGUGAAUGUAAAAUUAUUAACUGAUAAUUGUAUUAAUGUUAGUAAAAUUAUCAAAUUAUAUUUAAGUUAAGGGUUAGGGUUUUUAAUUUAAGGGUUUAGGGUUUUAAAGUUAAGGGUUAGGGUUUUUAAGUUAAUGGUUAGGGUUUUUAGGUUAAGGGUUUAUGGGUUUUUAAUUUAAGGGUUUAGGGUUUUUAAUUUAAAGGCUUAGGGGUUUAAAGUUAAGGGUUUAGGGUUUUUAAGUUAAGGGUUAAGGUUUUUAAGUUAAGGGAUUAAGGUUUUUAAGUUAAUGGAGGGUUUUUAAGUUAAGGGGUUGGGGUUUUUAAGUUAAGGGUUAGGGUUUUUAGGUUAAGAGUUUAUGGGUUUUAAGUUAAGGGUUUAGGGUUUUUAAUUUAAGGGUUUAGGGUUUUAAAGUUAAGGGUUAGGGCUUUUAAGUUAAGAGUUUAGGGUUUUAAAGUUAAUGGUUAUGGUUUUUAGGUUAAGGGGUUAGGGUUUUUAAGUUAAGGGUUUAGAGUUUUUAGGUUAAGGAUUUAUGGUUUUUAAUUCAAGGGUUAGGGUUAGGGUUUUUAGGUUAAGGGUUUAAGAUUUUGUCAAUUAAAUUAUGCAUUCAAUUAUAAUUUAUAAAUUUAUAAUUUUUUAAUAAGUUAAGGGUUUAGGGUUUUUAAGUAAUAAUUCAAAAAAAUUUCUAUUUUAUUACAUCAAAAAAUAUCAAAAUAUUCAAAAUAUUUGUACAAAUAAAUUUAAAUACAAAAAUCAAUGUCUGUGCUUGCGGGAUUCAGUGCCACAUGGCAGCCGUCAAUGGUUACGCGUUGGAUUCCUCCUUUGUCCAGCUUCUGGCGGUGGUUGUGGUUUUUCCGGCGGGGAUUCUGGUUCUUCCAGUAAGGCAUCUGGUUGUCGGAGUUGGGACGAUGAGCCACAUUGAUAGAAUUGUGAAUGUGGAGGUGUUUGCAUCACCAACGGUGACGGUGUUUGAAACUCAUACGGUGGUGGGGAUUGGUAAAAAGAAGAGCUCCCCGACGGCCCCUCUUGCGAUCCCUCGUGCGUCGCUAGCCUAUACAUCGGCGGUCCACUCGGCGUAACAGAAAAUGGAGCUGAACCGGGCCAUUGGCUCCAACCUGCCAUAGGACUUGAAAAAGGAAACAUAUAAGGGUUAGGAUACAUAAAAGGGCUAGGAAACGCACCUGGCAUCAUCUGAAAAGGUGGUUGCGUGGGUAUCAUCGGUUGAACUGCUAGGUCGGGUGAUUAUGUCGGUACUCUCUUUGGGCCGGGUGAAUGUCUGAGCAUUGUUGAGGGGCCAGCGUCGUCGUCCUGUCGUCUUGGAUUUAAAGGCCCGCGUCUUUCCCUUUGGACACGUAAUUGCGGCAAACACACCAACUCCGGAACGACGAUCGGUUCUAUACUAGGUAUAUAGUCAUACCGAUCUUCCCACAUUUGGAUGUACUCGGACCAGAAUCUCGGCCAAUCCGUAUUCAAUUACUGAAGGUCGAUUUUGUGGUGAUCGUCAAACACCUUAAGUUCCACGGGAAUCGGUUGUCUACAUCCAAAUUGUCGUAACACCCUGUCUGAUUGGUGCAUCUCCACGGUCGCGUAGUUGAUCAACGCGACUUUCGCUUGCCAAGCGUUUGGAGUUUGUAAGAACUCAUCCGGAAUUACUGCCCGAAUUGCCGGAUCCUCGUAUGGUGUCCAUUGAAACUAUAUGAACAUGAUAGAAAUAUUAGUUAUAUACAUAAUACUAAAUACUAAAUACCAAUCGACUAGCGAAUGAUGGAAAUAUCAAUUUUAUUUAAUACUUACAUGUGCUUCCGACUGUUGGGCUAAUAGAAGCCGUAUAUCUUCAAGAGAAGUAGGUAAUUGAGCAUGACUUGCCAGAUGGUUCCACCUAAUUAAAUAAAUUUUUAGCAUACUUUUAUUUUUAAAAAUCUACAUAAUAAUUGUAAAAUCUAAUAUAAAAUUUACCUCGUUAUGAGUGAGACUGUAUAUGGGUGGUCCACUCGAGGACGUAGAAAUGGAAAGCGAAACCGUGCCCAUGACUGCAGUACUGACAGGCAACCUCCGAUUUUUUCUUUCCUUGGUCGCGUCGCCCCGCACAUCUCCCGAUAUAACAUUGUCAAGACGGCAGACCCCCAACUCAAUUUACCAGCUGCUCUAAAAUUAACGAGUUUCAGCAGCCAUCUUAGUUGUACGCGGCUCCGUGACAAGUCGAGCAUCAGAUAACCUCCAAUUAAUUGAAGAAUGUAUGUCCGAGCAUAUCGGAUUCUUUCUAUUUCGGUUGAAUCUUCAUCUGGAUCCGGGAAUGUGUCUCGUAACCAGCCCAUCUCGAUCUUACCUCUGUCCAUUUUCUCCGGAAUAUUGCCCAAAAGCUCGUAACACACCGCAAGCCAAUUGCUAGAUUGGGCAAACCCGGUGAUUGGGUACCCGUCCACCGAUAAUCCCAAUUGCAGACUGGCAUCUUCCAAAGUGAUAGUGCACUCUCCACAUGGAGGAUGGAAUGUGUGCGUCUCGGGUCUCCACCUCUCGAUCAACGCACUGAUUAGUUUCGGGUCCACCUUGCAUCCCCUGCCUACCGUCGCCACGUGCCAAAAACCGGUUUCAUUCCGGAUAUUGCAGGUAGUUCUCUACCAAUGGCAGGUAGUUCUCUACCAACGGUGAUGGAGGACCAUGCAUAUUCCGGAUAUUGCAUUCCAAUAUCCGAUCUACAGACUUUUAUAACAAAUAAUAAAUUAAUAAUUAUCUAAAAAUGCAUAAAUAAAAAAUUCUUAAAUAAUAUUUAAAAAUAAAAUUUAACGCUUACCAUUUUCAUUUGUUCCACCGAUAUGUGAUGCUUAUCAAGACGAGUCAAUUCUCCGGCCAUUGCUGAAAUCGUACAAAUUUUUACGGUUUAAAAAAAUUUUAAAAAAAUAAUUUUUUUUAAAAUUAUUUAAAAAUAGGGAUUUAAGAGAAAUUUAAGAGGAACUUGAGAGCAAAUUGAAAAUAAAUAUGGAUUUGAGAGAAAUUUUGAAGGAAUUUGAGAGCAAAUUGAGAGGAAAUUUAGAAGAAAUUUUGAAGGAUUAGUUUGUGAAAAAAAAAGGGGUGGGGGGUAGUUAUAGUUUUUUUUUGGACCGUUGGGGGGCAACGGUCAAAAAAUUGACCGUUGCACUGUUCACGCGCGGGGCAAAUUGCAUCCACGUCAGCGCGCUUUGCUGAUGUGGACACAAAUCACGCUUCAAAGGAUGCGAUUUGUUGCCAUGUUAGUAAAGCGCGCUUACAUGGCCGCGAUUUCUUGGCACGUCCCCUGACAUCGCGCUGAUGUGGACACGAUUUAGGGGAAAAGGGCCCAUUCCGAUAAAUAAUAAAAUACCGGGCCCAUUUCGGUAAAUUUAAAAAAAAAUUAGACUUUUAAUGGUAAAUUGCCCAAAAAAAUCUAUGCUUUAGCCUAAAAUUUUUAGUUAUAAUCUUUCAAAAGUUUUAGUUUCUUAUAUAAAUAUAUAUAAUUGUUGACUUAUGCAAUUGAAUUAAAAGUAAUUAUAUACAUUAAGAAUAAAUAAUAAAUUAUUUUUUAUUUUUUACACAUUUGAAAAUUAUAUAUAUUUAUUAAAUUCUUAAUAAUUAUUUAUAAUUAUUAAUUUCUUUUUUUAAUUUCGUACUCAUCCAAAAUAUUCUAGAAAAUUAAUUGACUACGUUCAAAUGAAUCUGGAAAACUUUUGUCUAGAUUAUUUUAUAUGUAAUUUUUUGUUAAUUUUUAAAAAGUUUCCCUUUUAAAAUUAUUUUUAUUUUUCAAGUUAGUAUACCACCAUAUGACAACUGGGUGGCUUCUGUCAACCACAAUUCAAUUGAUAGGGGUCAAUUGAUUUUUUGAGUCACUAAACAUUUAAUUAAAUGUAUUUUUUUUUAUAAAAAUUCAAUUAAUUUUUUAAAUUUUCACCUUUUAACUUAAAUAAUUUAAUGUAAAUCCUAAGUCUGUAAAGCAAAGCUAUAUGUAGUACGUCAUUUAAAUAUCGUUAUUAAUAUGACACAUGCGUUUACGACAUGUUAGUAGUACUAAAGCCUUUGGGUAACUUUGUUGGAAAAGAUAAAAAAAGUUAAUAAAUUUUAAAUAAAUAAAUAUCUAAUAACAUAAGGCUAUUGAAUCAAAUGACAAAGACAUUGUUGAGAAAAAGAUGGCUUUUCCCAGAUGAAAUGAAAAUUGGAUUCAUGUAAGAGGAGAAAGGUUUCCCAUUACUUAGCCGGAAAGAUAUGUGGUUAUGAAAUAAGGAUUAAGUUUUAUAAAUCACAUUAUAUAGGCUGAUUGGUCUGAACUGCUUCAUCUUAAUAGGAUUAGCAACUUUUGGAAUGAGUACAAUGUGUGUAGAGUUUACCUGUUUGAAACCCUUAUGCUUGUUCAGUACUUGUAAGCAGAAAUUGAUAACAUCAUUUCCAACAAUGUGCCAACAUUUUUGAUAAAAUAAAGCUAGUAAUCCAUCUUCCUCUAGGGCUUUUAUAGGUCCUAUCUCAAACACUGCUGCUUUAAUCUCUUCCUUUGUGUAGAAAGCUAUAAGAAAUUGAUUAUCCUCAUCAGAAAUACAUCUAUGAAUUCCCGAUAGCAAAUGAUCACAACUUCCCCUUCUUUUUGUCAUAAAUAAAUUUUGGAAAUAGGAUCGUGCAAUGCCUUCAAUAUCUUGGAUGAUCUCCGCUUCUCUUCCUUCCUCGUCCUAUAAUUUGUGAAUCAGGUUCCUCCGUCUCCGUUGCAUGGUUUGACCGUGAAAGAAAGCAGUAUUCCUAUCUCCAUAUUUCACCCAGUUUAUGUGCGCUCUCUGUUUCCAGUAGCUUUCAUCCUUAUCUAUUUCAAGAUUCAGUUGAAUCUUUGUAUCAAUUAACUCAACCAAAUUAGGAUCGUCUCUUUCAGCUGCUAAGAGUUUUGAUACCCUAUCUUUGAGAAAUGUCUUUCGCUUCUUCCGAUCAACUUGAGUCUGAACAGCCCAACUCCUCAAACCAUGUUUUAGCCUAUCUAAUUUCUGCAUCAAAUUACCUGAUGAUGUCCCCCAGAUGUUUUUAACCUCUUCCUUGAACGAUUCCUCCAUUGUCCACCAGGCUUCAAAUUUAAAAGCUUUCUCCGUCACCUCUUGUGCUGCCUUCUUUGUAUUAACUAAAAAGGGGCAAUGAUCAGAGAAAGAAUGAGUAAGAUGUUGGAUAGUUACCUCAGGAAAUAUGGCCAUCCAUUCUUCAUUUGUGACACCUCUACCAAGCCUCUCGCGUAUAUUUGUCUUGGGUAAAUUUCCCCUCUCCCAUGUAAACCAUCUCCUAGAGAACCCCACAUCCACUAGAUUGCAAUCUGUUAGAACAUUGCGAAAUAACUCCAUUCUUCUUUCAUCUCUAGGUACUCCAACCAUCUUUUCAUAUCCGUACAAUAUUUCGUUGAAAUCACCACAAACAAACCACGAAAAUCUUUCUCCAGAGUAUAAAUUUCUUAGCACAGCCUAAGAAUUAUUUCUAUCAUGUACAUAUGGGGACCCAUAAAAACCAGUAAGCCUCCAUUUACCUCUUACAACACUAUCGUCUAUCACCACAUCAAUAUGCCUUUUUGAGUAUUGCCGCAACGUAACACACACCUCAGAUUUCCACGCCAAACAUAAUCCUCCUCUAGUACCUUCUGGAUCAACUUCUAUCCCAUUAACAUACCCGCAACUGUACUGGAUCCUUUCCAUUUGAUUUUUACAUAUCUUUGUCUCCAUGAAGAAGAUCAUUUGGGGAUUCUGUAACUUCAGCAUAUACCGAAGUCUCCGUUUAAGUUUGCAAACUUUAAUGUUCAGAUUCGUUGAAUUUUCAAAUUUUGGGUAUUAUUCAUCAUGAAGAACACUUUACUCUUAGGAAAAAAACUAUACUCAUGCCUAUACUUAUUGUUUUCAUGCUAUAUUUUUGUUCCAAAAUUCUUUCGUACAGUGUGUUACGUAAUCAAAUAAAAUUAAGUUUAAAUUUUGAGGUUAUUCACUAAAUCUAAUUCGAUAAGCAUUCAUGUUAUUGUUAAUAUAAAAUAAAAAUAAAUUCUAACGUGCGAAAACAUAUAUAUCUUUUUAUUUAAAAGUUGAAAAGUUAUCGGUUAAGUCUUAAUUUGAUUAAUUUAAGUAGUGUUGUCAAUGCAGAAGGAUGUGAAUUCGAAUGCGUUGAAAUGUAUUAUCUUCUUAUUUAUGGGUUGAGAAGAAAUUAUGAAUAAUUCUAGAUAUUCUUAUGUCAAAAAAAUAAAUAUAAUUAAAACUGAAAUUGUGAAAAAAAAUUGAAAAGUUAAAACUAGAUAUAGAAAGAAAAUUCCUGAGGCUGAAAUUAAGUUUGAUGGCAUUCGCUUGACAACCACGUUUCCUGUAAUUUAUGUCCAUAGGUCAUAUAGGGUGCAUGCAAUAAUGCAGUCUAAGUUGUGGGACCAAAACAUUAAAAUUAUAGCUGAUAUCCUCCACAAAUUUAAUCGGACAGUUUUAAUUUCCUUUUUCAUAUCUAAAAACGUUUUCAAUGAAAAAAAUUAAAAAAUGCGGAACUUAAAAUUAGAAUGUCAGAACCAUGUGUUGUUGUGAAUAAUUAUAUUUUUUUUUUCUCUUUUUCUUUAGUUUCUUUUUCCUGGUAGACAUGAUUGUAUAUACAUAUAGAGAGAAAUGAUAAGUUUGUAUUAAUGAAAAACUAAAUUAACUGUAUAUACCAAUUAUAUUUGUUAAUAUAUCAUACUCUACUCAUAUAGAUUGUAUAACGUUAAAGUUUUAGUGAAUUAAAAAUACUAAUUAUUUUAUAUAUAUAUAUAAUAUAAAACUUUUGAUUGUUAGAUAUAUAUUAAAAAUCAUUUAUUAAUCGAUGUGACAAAAAUAUUAAAAUUAAUUGCAAUUUUGUAUGUGUUAUAAUAACUGUCGAAACCGUUUUUUGAAAACAAAAUUUUUUAGUUUCGACUUAAAAAUAAAAACUCGAGUCGCCACCAAUCCUUUAUAAAGGUGUGAUCGGCCCACCUUAAAAAAUAAUUUUGGUUUGCGAAAUUUGAGAAAACAGGUUCGGGAGUCAGUUACGCACGAGGAAGGAUUAGCACCCUCGUAACGCUCAAAAUUGGUACCAAAUUGAUUUUUGUUAAUGUCUUGGUGUCGAAAAUUUGAAAAGAUUUUAAAAGGAAACUCUUCAUUUCAUGAAUAAAAAAAUAGUAAGACAUUCAUAUUUCAAAGAAAUAAAACACCACACCCAGUGAGUUAGGGCACAAUGUUUUUAAAUCUCCAAAAUACCCGAAUAUUGCCUUUUGCCUUUGAAAAUUCUUAUCUCGAGAAGAAAAUGUCAUGACCAGUAAGUUAGGACCCAACAUUUUUGAAUUCCCGAGAAUAAGCUUUUAUUUAAAAUUUGCGAAUUUAUUGCAAAACAAAUACUUGGCUUUCUAAAUUCAUCGAAAAAUAACCACAAUCCAAUAAGUUAGGACACGAUCUUUCUCAAGAAUCAUGAAUUCCAAAUAUCUCGAAAAUUUAUGAAAUAUCAUGAUUUUAAUACUUUGACAAAACCAAAAUACACAUCUAUAAAAAAAAGAUAUGCUAAAAAGGAGUAAUGCAUAACAUGAGAUCAAUAUUCUAAUUUCAAGCAUAUAUGAAUAAACAUUUACAAAUAUAUACAAGUAGGUAUAAUAUACAAAUAAAUUUGCAAACAAGAAGAAGAAAUGAAAUACAUCAAAUAAAAACAAAUAGAAAUACAUGUAUUAAAAAUAAAAAAAUAAAAAUAUAAAAGCAUGCAUAUGUAUAUAUUAUAUAAGAAAACAUUAUGUGAAUACUAUAAAUAUAUAAAUAUAUGUGUAUAUAUAUAUAUUAUAUAUUAAAAACCAUGCAAGUAUGCUAAAAACGUGCGUAUGUAUAUGUAUUAUAUAAAACAAUGCAUGUAUGUUAUAAUAAUAAUAAUAAUAAUAAUAAUAAUAAUAAUAAACAGUUUAAAAAAAGGGUUAAACUGAACUAAAAAGAAAAAAAAUUAGUGAAUUUGAAGUAAAUCUGAAAAUAGGACCAUAUUGAAUGCGCGCGCAAGAGUGGAGGACCAAAAGGGAAAUUAUUCCCUCCCUCCAAAAACGCUGCGCAGCAGUGGGCUAAAUUGAAAAACAAAUAAAAAAUUGCGGCUCAAUUUAAAAAGAAACAAAGCAGGUUUAAUUACUACGCGCCACGAACAGGAGGGACUCAAUGCGCAAUUUACCCUUUAAAGCCCAACGCGAGGAUCCUUCCCUCCGGGUCGGGUCACCGCGCGGGCUAUACUAGGGCAAAACGGCGCCGUUUUCAAAUCAGUAUUUAAGGCUGGUUUUCUGAAAAAAAAACUAAUAGCUACAGUUUUUUUUAGAAAAAGAAAAUAAAAAAACAAUAAAAAUAAAGUAAAAGCAGAGAUUUCUCUACUAGGGUUUCAAACCCUUUUGCCCCCGUCGCUCUCGGCCUAUGGCCGUUUCAAAUCCUAGCCCUCCAACUUCGGUUUUAAACGAAGCAAGUCUAGGACAUCGACGGCGAAACUGCAGGUAAGGAACCCCUCUUUCUAUACUAAUAUUUUUUUUGUAAAAAAAAAAAGAAAAUAAGCAUAAAAAGAACCUAAAAAAUAAUCGUAAUCACCUUUAAAAAAAAAUCUAUUCUCUGUUUUUCUUUUCGAUUUCUUUCUCUAUAUUCCCUCAAUCCCCCUUUUUACAGAUUUCUAAAGGCUUUUUAUAGCUCGAAAAACAAAAAGAAAAAUAAUAAAAUCAAUAUAUGUCUUUGCUGUUUUUUCUCUUUCGGAUUCUUUGAAUCCGUUUUUGCAGGUGUUGUAAAGCGAACAGCGCGCGUGGGGAGGCCGAUCUCUGAGUCCUGCGGCGGCUGGAGGCUGGGGAGGUUGCUGCUUGUUGCGGCUACUUGCUGCUAGGGUUUUCUGCAGUAUUGGGCUAGGUUUAGUGGGUUGGGUCUAGUGUUUGGGCCUGCUUAUUUGUUUAGGCCUGGGUACAUUUGGGUUUAUACAGCUGCCCCUCUUUGCUAGUUGUCAUGUAACGGGAACAGAGCAAAGACUACAAGGCCCAAUUGUGCCCGGUCUUAUUGAGCCUCAACUUCUAUAAUGCUUCUUUUCUUUAAGUAGCCUCAUUCAUUCCUACUGCAUCUUCAGAGGUAUAGGAACUGGUGCUUUGAUCUACUCCACUGAAAUGUCGGGGAGAUAGGAUUUAUAUGUUGUGGCUUCUCAAAAGAACAAAAUUUGCUAUCUUUAAUCUGCUCCAUUGCAACUUCAGGGAGAUAAGACUUAUAGCUUCAAUUUGUUCUGCUACAACCAAAAGAUAAAUCUUGAUGCGAUCUGCUCUACUGCAACUUCAGAGAGAUGAGAUCUGUAAUUUUAAUCUAAGGAAAUAGGAAUAACUGGCUUCAAUGUACUCCACUGUAAUCUCAGGGAGGUAUAGUCUGCCAUCUUCGAUCUGCUUCGCCACCAGUAUGGGAAGACAAGAUCUGGUAUCUUUGAUUUACUUCCACUGUCGACCGGGGGAAUAGAAUUACUGGCUUCAAUAUACUCCACUGCAACCUCAGGGAGGUAAAAUCUGCCAUCUUUGAUCUGCUCCACUACUGCUCAGGGAGAUAAGAUCUGUAAUCUUCAAUCUACUUCCCACCAGUAUGGGAAGACAAAAUCUGUAUAUUCGAUCCACUUCACUACCGAUAUAGGAAGACAGGACCUGCUAUCUUUGAUCAACUUCACGCCAGUACAUGAAGAUAAGAUCUAUUUUCUUCGAUCUACUUCGCCACCAGUAUGGGAAGACAAGAUCUGGUAUCUUUGAUCUACUUCACGCCAGUACAUGAAGACAAGAUCUGCUUUUUCCUUCAAUCUGCUUCGCCACCAGUAUGGGAAGACAAAAUCUGUAUAUUCGAUCCACUUCGCUACCGAUAUAGGAAGACAGGACCUGCUAUCUUUGAUCUACUUCACGCCAGUACAUGAAGAUAAGAUCUAUUUUCUUUGAUCUACUUCGCCACCAGUAUGGGAAGGCAAGAUCUGGUAUCUCUGAUCUACUUCACGCCAGUACAUGAAGACAAGAUCUGUUUUCUUUGAUCUGCUUCGCCACCAGUAUGGGAAGGCAAGAUCUGGUAUCUCUGAUCUACUUCACGCCAGUACAUGAAGACAAGAUCUGUUUUCUUUGAUCUGCUUCGCCACCAAUAUAGGAAGGCAAGAUCUGGUAUCUCUAAUCUACUUCAUGCCAGUACAUGAAGACAAGAUCUGCUUUCUUUGAUCUGCUUCGCCACCAGUAUGGGAAGGCAAGAUCUGGUAUCUCUGAUCUACUUCACGCCAGUACAUGAAGACAAGAUCUGUUUUCUUUGAUCUGCUUCGCCACCAGUAUGGGAAGGCAAGAUCUGGUAUCUCUAAUCUACUUCACGCCAGUACAUGAAGACAAGAUCUGUUUUCUCUGAUCUGCUUCGUGCCCAGUAUGGGAAGGCAAGAUUUGGUAUCUUUGAUCUACUUCACGCCAGUACAUGAAGACAAGAUCUGUUAUCUUUCAACCUGCUCCACUGCUGCUCAGGGAGAUAAGGUUUUAUGAUUCCACCGACCUGUUCUCUGUGGAACAUGAACUAUAUGAUGAGCUUAAUUAUGCCUAGUGAUUAGGAUGUCAUGAUCAAAUGAAUCAAAUGCUCCUGACUAGACGUGUAUGAAUGACAUUUGAAUGUUAUGUCAUGAAAAAUGAAUGUUUAAGGUUAUUAUUGCUCAUUAAGGCUUCCUUUAUGACAACAACGCUUCGUCAAAACUUGGAAAUCUUAAUAUUGACUCUUGACCCCUAGAUAUCUUUGACCUUUUAACCCGGUGAAGUCUAAACAAUAGUCCUGCUUCAGGCUCCUGUAUUAUUUAGAAAUUUCUAGAGUAAUAUGAAAAACUUCCCUUGUGAAAGUUUUACUAGUCCAUUAAUCGUCAUUCUAAUGCAACAUGCUUGCGAAAAGAUCAUAACGAUGAAAUAAACAAAAUUAAUUUGGGAGCAUAGCUCGCAAUGGAUUGUCAAUGAUAGAGGAAUUGUCUGGGGACAUUUAUAUUGAAAAGGAAUGAAACAUUCUAAAACAAUGAAUUCAAUACAAAUACUAUGAACAGGUGCCCCAGAUAUCUCUGCUUGAAUUUUUCUAUACAACUUUUCGAAGACCCUUCUGAAUUCAACACGUGUUUAGGAGAUUCACAGUAUUUUGUUGAUGCCCCAAGAUGUCGUCUAUUCCUUUAUGCCAAUUUAGGUACAACAAGACUACCACGUGACAAUCAAAAUUUGAGCCGCCCUUUUCAGGUUUUCAACUCAAACCCCUUUGGUCUUAAGGUACCAUUUGCGGGUUUUCACCCUAGCCUCUCCAUUUUUUUUGGAAUCAACGCCCUUUGCGGGUUUUCACCUUGGUUCCUUCCUUUCUUCAAGUAAAGUAUCUCUUGAUCGAAUCUGAAUUUACUGGAUUAGGCAAGUUUCUUCCAUCCAUUUCAGCCAGGAUCAGGGCUCCUCUAGAAAAGGCCUUUUUUACGACAUAAGGACCUUCCCAAUUCGGCAUCCAUUUCCCCCUAAAAUCUUUUUGUAGAGGAAGAAUUUUUCUCAACACCAGGUCCCCCUCGUGAAAUUCUCUAGGUCGGACCUUUUUGUUGUAGGCUCGCAUCAUUCUUUUCUGGUACAUCUGACCAUGCUGAAUAGCCUUUAGCCUUUUUCCCUCUAUCAAGUUCAACUAAUCGUAUCGAGAUUGAACCCAUUCUGCUUCAUCCAAUUGUAGCUCAGUCAAAACUCGGAGAGAAGGGAUUUCAACUUCUAUGGGCAAGACUGCCUCCAUGCCAUAAACUAAGGAGAAAGGCGUUGCCCCGGUAGAGGUCCUGAUUGACGUUCGAUAAGCAAGAAGGGCAAAUGGUAAUUUCUCGUGCCAGUCCCUGUAGGUCUCAGUCAUCUUUCCCACAAUCUUCUUUAUAUUUUUAUUAGCCGCUUCCACUGCACCGUUCAUUUUUGGGCGAUACGGCGAUGAAUUGUGAUGUCUGAUCUUGAAUUGACUGCAGACUUCUGUUAUUGAGCUGUUGUUCAGGUUCAGCGUAUUGUCAGAUAUGAUUCUUUCAGGCAUUCCAUAUCGACAUAUGAUCUCCUUUUUCAAGAACUUACUGACUGAUGACUUUGUAACGUUGGCAUACGAAGCAGCUUCUACCCAUUUGGUGAAGUAGUCAAUAACCACAAAUAUGAAACGAUGCCCAUUUGAAGCCUUCGGCGAUAUUGGCCCGAUGACAUCCAUACCCCACAUGGAGAAAGGCCAUGGAGAAGUCAUGACAUGAAGAUGCGAAGGAGGUGCAUGCAUUUUAUCACCAUAGAUUUGACAUUUAUGGCACUUUUUGGAGUAAUUGAUGCAAUCCCCUUCCAUGGUGGACCAGUAAUACCCGAACCUCAUAAUCUGUCUAGCCAUUAUGAACCCACUGGCAUACGUUCCACAGAUACCCUCAUGGACUUCCUCCAGAAUUUUCUUUGCUUCCACGGCAUCCACACAUCUUAACAGUACCUGAUUUUUUCCCCUCCUGUAUAAGAUCUCCCAAUCUAAGACGUAAUCAAUGGCUAGUCUUCUCAGAGUUCUCUUUGCAUUCUCCGUUGCCUGGCCAAGAUACUCACGAUUUUUUACAUAUCGUAGUAUAUCUUGAUACCAAGGACUAUUAUCGAUUUCUCUUUCUUCAAUAUUGUAACAAUGAGCUGGGUCUUCAUAGAUACUCAUUUGGAUUGGCUUCAUAUCCUCAUGUCUGUUCACCUUGAUCUUGGAGGCUAAAAUAGCUAGUGCAUCGACCAUCUGGUUCUCAUCUCGUGGGAGAUAGCAAAAAGUGAUGUCCUCAAACUCUUUAAUCAAUUCGAGGACCGACUUUCGAUAACUGAUUAAUUUGGGAUCUCUCGUUUCCCAUUCACCCCUGAGCUGAUAUAUCACCAAUGCUGAAUCUCCAUAAACCUCCAGCACUUUGAUUUUUUGCUCUAUAGCUGCACGAAUACCCAUGAUGCAUGCUUCGUAUUCUGCCAUGUUGUUUGUACAAUCAAAAUCCAAUUUGUAAGUGAAAGGAUAAUGAUCACCAUUCGGGGACACCAGGACUGCCCCAAUUCCAUUGCCCACAGCGUUCGAGGCUCCAUCAAAGUUUAGCUUCCAACUGUGACCUUUUUGGGGAUUUUCUUCAGUAGUGGCUACAUACAACAAGUCUUCAUUCGAAAAAUCAAAACUUAACGGUUCGUAAUCUUCCAAAGCCCUACUAGCCAGAAACCGUUUCAUGGGUCGCUAAAAUAUUGUUAAAUUCUAUCAUUAUUUUGGGUCGUGAACGAGGUCAAUUUGAUUUAGGAAAUUUUUUCUUGUAUUUUUCCUUAUAAAAAUUCUAGUAAUUAGUAAAUAUUUAAAAUUGUGCCAAUAUAGUAAGCAUUGCAUCUGUUUGCGGUGAUACUAGUGUUUAACGAGGAGAUGGUGGUCGUAGGGGUUUACAAUAAUUCACUCUUAUAGGGCAGAGAGUCAUAAAUGGAGGAGAUGAGGGAGAUUAGUAAUGGAGAUUAUUAAGGAGGAAAGGAGAUGCCCAUGGUUGAAAAGUAGAAUAGAGAAAGAAUUAGAGGGGUCCAUAGGCCAAGUUAGGCCAGGCCCAACCAAAAUUUUAAAUCUAUUUGCUAGGCUCGGGCCCGGCUUGAAAAUGAGCUUAAAAUUUUGUCUAAGCCCGACCUGAAUAAAAAUGCUAAAAUUUGGGUUCGACCAGGCCCGACCGUAUUAAUUUUUUAUAUAAUUUUUUAGAAUUAUAUAUAAUAUAUCAAAAAUAUUAAAAAUAUUAAAAUAAAUAUUUCUUAAAAAAUUAAAAAUAAAUUAUAAAACAAUAUGCAUACUUAAAUAACACUAAGAUAGGAGCAACUUAAUAAGCAAAUGGCUCUAAAAUAGUAACAAAAUUAACAAUAAAACAAGAGUCAUACAAUAUUCAAACAAUAACAAUAAACUAGUAGCAACAUAAUAGUUAAAUAGUAGCAAAAUAGUAAAAAAAAAAAUACGAAGAAAACAAUAAAAAAAUAAUAAGAAAGCAAUAAAAAAUAGCAGUUUUUUCCAUAUUCGGUCCAGGCCAAAAAAGCCUUACCUGAGGUCCGACCCAUUUUCUAAUCGAGCCUUAUUUUUUUCCCAAACUUAUUUUUCGGACUUAUAUUUUUACCCAAACCCUCUCACUUUUUGAGCAGGUCUUCAGGCCGGGCCGAAUAACCUGACCCAUGAACAAGUCUAGAAAGAACCCUAAAAAAAUCCCUUCCCUGAUCUAAAUAUAUAUAUAAAGAUCUUUAGUGGGUCUCCCAUUGUGAUCAAAAUAUUUAUAUAUAACACUUUUGUUGGGAUCGACCUGAUUAAGCAACAAGUAAAAAAAAUAGUAGAAUAAAUUGAGAAAUUGAACACACAAAUUUAACAUGGAAAACCCCUUCCAAAGAGGAUAAAAAAAUCAUAGGCAAAUAUAAUUUUAUUAUAAUGGAAAAAGAACGAAGAGUACAAAAGAUGGAGAUAAAAACUAAACCCCAAAAACCCGAAAACAAAGAACCCUCAAAACAUAAACACAAAAUUCUCUAAAUGUGUUAUGAGUUCUAAUAUUGUAAAAGAGCCUAUUUAUAGGCUAAAUUCAUAGGUCAAAUAAUAAAAUAAUCUAGACUAAUCAGAGUUUGAUUGAAAGAAAUAAACAGAGUUUAACAGGAAGAUUAUUUCUCAAUUUUGACUAAAAUAGGAGUCAUACUCAACAACUAUUAAUUAGAGACCUUAAAAGCUCACACUUUAUGCAUGACCUUUGAGCUAUGUAGAAAGGUGAUUCCUCUAAAUGCCAUUGUUUUUUUUAUCGGAUAAGCUUUAUGUUUUAUUAGCUUUAGCUUAGGCACAUGUCGUGCGUGUUGGAGUUAGAGGUGAGCGUUCAAUUGAGUCGAAUCGAAUGAAAAAAUUUCAAGUUUAUCGAGCUGACAAAUUCUAUAUAUCAUCCUAACUCAAUUUGAAAAUUUCUCGAAUUGAGUUGAGUGAGAUGAAAUUUGAAUUGAAUGGAAUUGAAUAUAUUUUUUCAAGUUAAAUUAAAAAAAGAUUUUGGGUCCUUGUAACACUACCAUCCACCGUAAUCAAAUUUGUUAUUAACUUUUAUUCCCUUAUAAUUUAUUUGCUAAUCUUUUAUGUACGAUUUGGCUUCUUUGUUUGCUUAUUUGUUUCAAUUAUUUUCUUAUUCUUGUCACCAUGUAUUUUGAAAUUAAAAAAUAUAUUAAAUAUAAAAAAUGUAAUUUUUUAAUAAAAUUAUUUUAAAGAUAAAAUGUGAAAUUGAUACCAACAUAAAAUUUUAACACGAAUAUUUUAUAGCAUCACUAAUAAUUCAAUUGUAACAAAAUUUGAUAAAGAUUCAACAUGAUUAAACAAUUCAAUAAUAUAAAUAGUACAAAAUGUGAAAUUUAAUUUAAUAAUAUAAAUAGUAGAAAUAAAUUCGAAAAAAAAAUUUGGGGUUUGGAAAGAAGUAAAAAUUUUGGAAGAAAGCAAAAGGAAAAAAGUUUUGGAGAGUUUUGGGGAAGUAAAAGGAAAAUUUUUUUUGGGAAAAAUAAAAUUUUUGUGGUAGAAGUAAAAGUUUUUAGAGAAAAGUGUAAGGAAAAAAAAUUUAAGGGUUUCGAAAAGUACAAUUUUAGGGGAGAAAGUAAAAUGGUUUAAGAGGUAAGGAGAAGAAUUUUGUAUUUGGUUUAUUUGAAUUAUUUGAAUUAUUCGAAUUUAAAAAUUCAAUUAGAAUAAUUUGAAUUCUUUUCCGAGCCAGGCUAAUGCUUUUGACUGAAAAUACAUGGUGAUGGUGUAAUUCUUAGGAAUAUUAGUAAACAUAUUUUGAUGACUACCGACUACGGACAAAGUGAGGUCGUUGCUAAUAGGAUUGUUGGCUUGUAACUGAGCUGGACACAGUUGCAAGUAAAGGAUCUUCCUUUACUACUUUUGGCAUGAUUUAGUUACAUGUGAAAAAAAAAAAGAAAAAUGUUUGAAAUUAAAUAAAUGCAAUGAAUGUGUUAAAAUAAGACAGGGGAUUGUAUAAAAAUGUGCCAAAAUUAAGGAGCCGCUGAGACAAACAUCAUCUAUAAAUAGGGGCUCAUGCAACGUCUCUUGACCACCAUAACAAGCUUCGAGAGAUCGUAAUUACAGAGAGACAAAAGACUGAUCGAGAUGGAAGUAGUUCAAGUUCUUCAUAUGAAUGGAGGAGUUGGAGAAACCAGUUAUGCAAAAAACUCUUUACUUCAGGUAUGUAUGUAUGUAUGUAUGUAUGUAUGUAUGUAUGUAUGCUGUGAUUUUUUAACCUGAAAUAUCUUGGACAGCAAAAGGUGAUAACCAUGACAAAGCCAAUCACAGAGGAAGCAAUAACUAAGCUCUAUUGCAGCAAAUAUCCGGAAGAAAUAGCCAUUGCAGAUUUGGGUUGUUCUUCGGGACCUAAUACUUUCUUUUUGGUAUCUGAACUUCUCAAAGUGGUGGAUAGUGUUCGCCAAAAGAUAGGCCAAAAAUCCCCCGAGUAUCAAGUGUU